rnacentral:rRNA from 1 species
GUUGAUAAGGUUAAGUGAAUAAGGGCGCACGGUGGAUGCCUUGGCACUAGGAGCCGAUGAAGGACGGGACUAACACCGAUAUGCUUUGGGGAGCUGUAAGUAAGCUAUGAUCCAGAGAUUUCCGAAUGGGGGAACCCAAUAUCUUUUAUAGGAUAUUACUUUUCAGUGAAUACAUAGCUGAUUAGAGGUAGACGCAGAGAACUGAAACAUCUUAGUACCUGCAGGAAGAGAAAGAAAAUUCGAUUCCCUGAGUAGCGGCGAGCGAAACGGGAAGAGCCCAAACCAACAAGCUUGCUUGUUGGGGUUGUAGGACUCCAAUAUGGUAGUCUGUUAGUAUAGUUGAAGGAUUUGGAAAAUUCCGCUAAAGAGGGUGAAAGCCCCGUAGACGAAAUGCUAACAACACCUAGGAGGAUCCUGAGUACGGCGGAACACGAGAAAUUCCGUCGGAAUCCGCGGGGACCAUCCCGCAAGGCUAAAUACUCCCUAGUGACCGAUAGUGAACCAGUACCGUGAGGGAAAGGUGAAAAGCACCCCGGAAGGGGAGUGAAAUAGAUCCUGAAACCGUGUGCCUACAACAAGUCAAAGCUCGUUAAUGAGUGAUGGCGUGCCUUUUGUAGAAUGAACCGGCGAGUUACGAUUGCAUGCGAGGUUAAGUCGAAGAGACGGAGCCGCAGCGAAAGCGAGUCUGAAUAGGGCGAAUGAGUAUGUAGUCGUAGACCCGAAACCAUGUGAUCUACCCAUGUCCAGGUUGAAGGUGCGGUAAAACGCACUGGAGGACCGAACCCACGUACGUUGAAAAGUGCGGGGAUGAGGUGUGGGUAGCGGAGAAAUUCCAAACGAACUUGGAGAUAGCUGGUUCUCUCCGAAAUAGCUUUAGGGCUAGCCUCGGAAUUGAGAAUGAUGGAGGUAGAGCACUGUUUGGACUAGGGGCCCAUCUCGGGUUACCGAAUUCAGAUAAACUCCGAAUGCCAUUCAUUUAUAUCCGGGAGUCAGACUGCGAGUGAUAAGAUCCGUAGUCGAAAGGGAAACAGCCCAGACCACCAGCUAAGGUCCCAAAAUAUAUGUUAAGUGGAAAAGGAUGUGGGGUUGCACAGACAACUAGGAUGUUGGCUUAGAAGCAGCCACCAUUUAAAGAGUGCGUAAUAGCUCACUAGUCGAGUGACCCUGCGCCGAAAAUGUACCGGGGCUAAACAUAUUACCGAAGCUGUGGACUACACCAUUAGGUGUAGUGGUAGGAGAGCGUUCUAAGGGCGUUGAAGGUCGAUCGUGAGGACGGCUGGAGCGCUUAGAAGUGAGAAUGCCGGUAUGAGUAGCGAAAGACAGGUGAGAAUCCUGUCCACCGUAUGACUAAGGUUUCCUGGGGAAGGCUCGUCCGCCCAGGGUUAGUCGGGACCUAAGCCGAGGCCGAUAGGCGUAGGCGAUGGACAACAGGUUGAUAUUCCUGUACCAGUUGUUUUUGUUUGAGCAAUGGAGGGACGCAGUAGGCUAAGGAAUGCAUGCGAUUGGAAGUGCAUGUCCAAGCAAUGAGUCUUGAGUAGAGUUAAAUGCUUUACUCU